UACGGAGGGUGCAAGCGUUGUCCGGAUUUAUUGGGUUUAAAGGGUGCGUAGGUGGCCCGUUAAGUCCGGGGUGAAAGCCCACAGCUCAACUGUGGAACUGCCCUGGAUACUGGCGGGCUUGAGAGUCGUCGAGGGUGGCGGAAUGGACGGUGUAGCGGUGAAAUGCGCAGAUAUCAGGAGGAACACCGGUGGCGAAGGCGGCAUCCUGGACCAAUAUUGACGCUGAGGAGCGAAAGCCAGGGGAGCAAACGGG
rnacentral:rRNA from 1 species